rnacentral:rRNA from 1 species
GACGAACGCUGGCGGCGUGCUUAACACAUGCAAGUCGAACGGAAAGGCCCUGCUUUUGUGGGGUGCUCGAGUGGCGAACGGGUGAGUAACACGUGAGUAACCUGCCCUUGACUUUGGGAUAACUUCAGGAAACUGGGGCUAAUACCGGAUAGGAGCUCCUGCUGCAUGGUGGGGGUUGGAAAGUUUCGGCGGUUGGGGAUGGACUCGCGGCUUAUCAGCUUGUUGGUGGGGUAGUGGCUUACCAAGGCUUUGACGGGUAGCCGGCCUGAGAGGGUGACCGGCAACAUUGGGACUGAGAGACGGCCCAGACUCCUACGGGAGGCAGCAGUGGGGAAUAUUGCACAAUGGGCGGAAGCCUGAUGCAGCAACGCCGCGUGCGGGAUGACGGCCUUCGGGUUGUAAACCGCUUUCGCAUGUGACGAAGCGUGAGUGACGGUAAUGGGUAAAGAAGCACCGGCUAACUACGUG